UACGGAGGUGGCAAGCGUUGUUCGGAAUUAUUGGGCGUAAAGAGUAUGUAGGCGGCUAUUUAAGUCAGACGUGUAAGCCCACGGCUCAACCGUGGAAUUGCGUUUGAAACUAUUUAGCUUGAGUUCAGGAGAGGAAGGCGGAAUUCCCAGUGUAGCGGUGAAAUGCAUUGAUAUUGGGAAGAACACCGGUGGCGAAGGCGGCCUUCUGGUCUGAUACUGACGCUGAGAUACGAAAGCCAGGGGAGCGAACGGG
rnacentral:rRNA from 1 species